UGAGUACUCCCUCUGUCUCAAAACUCUUGUCUUAGAUUUGUUUAAAUAUGAAUGUAUCUAGUCAAGUUUUAAUAUUUAGAUACAUACAUUUCUAGACAAAGCUAAAACAAGAAUUUUGAAACGGAGGGAGUACAUG
rfam:Hordeum vulgare subsp. vulgare, WGS project CAJW01000000 data, contig: morex_contig_1572784